UACGUAGGUGGCAAGCGUUGUUCGGAAUUACUGGGCGUAAAGGGCGCGUAGGCGGCCUUCUAAGUCGAACGUGAAAUCCCCGGGCUCAACCCGGGAACUGCGUCCGAUACUGGAAGGCUUGAAUUCGGGAGAGGGAUGCGGAAUUCCAGGUGUAGCGGUGAAAUGCGUAGAUAUCUGGAGGAACACCGGUGGCGAAGGCGGCAUCCUGGACCAAUUCUGACGCUGAGGAGCGAAAGCCAGGGGAGCAAACGGG
rnacentral:rRNA from 1 species